rnacentral:misc_RNA from 1 species
CAGAGAUGCAAUACAUCAGUAGAAGAAGCUCAAGAAUUAUUGAAAUGUAGCAAUCCGCAACAAAAGCUGCAAAGUAUUGGGCAAGAACUUCCUAGCAAACAGGAAGCAGAUAGAGGAAGUAUUCCCAUUGUAAGUACAAUUCCUACCAAACCUAAUUCGAUCCAAGAACCCAACAGAAAUAGCUUGCUUCGCAAAUUUUCCAGGGUGUGGACCACUCUUGGACCAAUCAACCCAAGUAACGCUCCUGUUAGUGUUCUCCUGUGGACAAACAACAUUAACAAGUGUAGGAAUGUAAUGCUCGUCCAUGUAACAUGGAGGGCUACAAUGCUGUCUAAACACAGGAUAGUACUUUGUGUCUGAAACUAUUUCAAUGGCGAGCCUGCGAUUAACCUCAAACCACUGAGACCCUUUACGCCAAUUAGAAAUGUUGAUUCUUGGAGACAUUUUGGGAUUGUAUCGGCCCCGACCCACCUUCCUUGGAUCGUCAUAGGAACCUGCGAAGCUGUUUCUAGCAUUGAUGAGGUAGUUGUAUAUUGUUGAGAAGUUGAAUAAAGGAAUGCAAGUCUCUGAGACAAGUACAAAUCUCUCAUUCGAUAAGUCAAGGAGAGCGUUUGCUAAAAGUCUCCUCUCUGCGUCAAUCAUGGAUGCUCUUCCCCAUUCCACAGGCUUGCUUGGAAUUCUUCUUUCAUGGAAAACAGAGCUUUCAGGAAAAGUAUCAUUGAACGAGGGGUGAGGAUGAAUAUAUAUACUGUAAAGCCCUUCAUGUCCUUUAAAGAACUUUUCCCAUAAAGCAGCCAGAGGCAAAGGUCCCUUCGUCAAAAACAUGAAAGCAACCUUAGGCUUAGGGACAAGUUCUUGAGG